UGAUCAUUACGUGGUCGAUUGUUCAGUG
rnacentral:sRNA from 1 species